rnacentral:lncRNA from 10 species
CGCUGCAGCGACAGCAGUUCCCACGGGAGGAGUCGCACCGGGAAUGGGCCGCGGGGGAGGGAGAGAGUGGGAGGGAGUGAGGCCCCGGGAAUUGUCCUCUGAAGGGGCGGCGCAUGGGCGUCCCCCGCCCUGCUAGCCCCAUCUCCUUCCCUGUCCCUGCUUGGGCAGGAGGCCCAAGCCCUGACAACAGAGGUGAGAGAGGCUGUGCCAGCCCUUCUCUGGGCAUGUCUGGGCUCAAGGGCCAGGCUCUGUCUCCAGUCUAGGGCCAAGCUGGGGCCUGUGGCAGGAUCAGAUAGAGAUGCAGAAACUGAGGCUCAGAAGCGUUCGGCCACGUGCAUGCAUUGCCUUUCCCAUUGGUGCUCCAUCGCCAGUAAUGGAUAAGUAAUAAGUAAUAAGGUGCAUUGGAAAUUCAAAUUUCAGAAUAAGCUGACUGCCAAGAGGGCCCUCCCCCUGUCGGGAGUCCCUUAGUCCAUGGGAAAUUCACAGAGAAGGAAACAGUCACUUUUCCUGCACCUGAGAAGGUGAUUCUGACUCUCCUGGAACCUGAGAACCACCAGUCUACGGGAACAGAGCCCUGCUUUGGGUCAGGUGUGUAUAACUAUGGUAUUCCCUUUCUUCUCUGCCUCUAUUGUUGAUGUUGUUUUUUUGUUUUUUGUUUUUUUUUGAAACGGAGUCUCGCUGUUGCCCAGGCUGGAGUGCAGUGGCGCAAUCUCGGCUCACUACAAUCUCCGCCUCUGGGGUUCACGCCAUUCUCCUGCCUCAGCCUCCCGAGUAGCUGGUAAGGGAGGAGACCACCCCUCACAUUGUCUUAUGCCCAAUUUCUGCCUCCAAAGAAAGAAGUAAAAACUAAAAGGCAGAAAUGAAAUCCACAGGCAGACAGCCCGGCGCUGCACCCUGGGCCUGGUAGUUAAAGAUCGACCCCUGACCUAAUCAGUUAUGUUGUCUAUAGAUUACAGACAUUGUAUAGAAAUGCACUGUGAAAAUCCCUAUCUGUUUUGUUCCGAUCUAGUUACCAGUGCAUGCAGACCCCAGUCACGUACCCCUUGCUUGCUCAAUCAAUCCCGACCCCCUCACACGCACCCUCCUUAGAGUUGUGAGCCCUUAAAAGGGAUAGGAAUUGCUCACUCGGGGAGCUCGGCUCUCGAGACAGGAGUCUUGCCGAUGCCCCCAGCCGAUUAAACCCCUUCCUUCAACUCGGUGUCUGAGGAGUUUUGUCUGCAGCUCGUCCUGCUACACUGGGACUACAGGCGCUCGCCACCACGCCCGGCUAAUUUUUUAUAUUUUUUAGUAGAGGCAGGGUUUCACCGUGUUAGCCAGGAUGGUCUCGAUUGCCUGACCUCAUGAUCCGCCUGCCUUGGCCUCCCAAAGUGUUGGGAUUACAGGCGUGAGCCACCGCGCCCGGCCCCACUCUCUACCUCUGUUUGUUUAGGGGCAGGCAUAGAAUCCCAUUCUAGUCAAUGAGACAGAAAGGGGUUCUGGAAAGUUCCCCCACCCCCUUAUAAAACAAGGAGGACGUCUUCAAGGAGGACGUCUGAGGAGAAGCUUUGCCGUGGCCUUUUGCCUUUGGAUGCUGCCAGAGGGGUUAGAAGGCGGAGCUCCACAGUCAGGCAGCUGGGGUGUGUAUCCUAGCGGGGAGAGCAAGAGACAGUGGGACAAAAAUAAUAACAGUAAUAGCAGCAAUGCUUCUUGAGGACUUUCCGCAUGGCAGGCCCUAUUCUAAGCACCUCAUGUAGCAUAUUUUACCCUCAAACAGUCCUGAGGUAGGUUCUGUUAUUGCGAUUUUAUAAAUGAGGAAACUGAAGCACAGACAAGUUUAAAUAACUCGUUCAAAGUCAUACAGCUCAUACAUGGAGGCCAGCAUGCAGGCCAGGUGUGUGGGGUAUGGGCAUUGCGGGCUACUUUAGGGACCCUGACCUUUUCCUCAGCAUAGUGGGAAGCUGGUGAAAGGUUUUAAGCAGGGGUGGCCCCUCUGAUUUACCUUUUUUUUUUUUUUUUUUUUUUUGAGACAGUGUCUCACUCUGUUGCCCAGGCUGGAGCGCACUGGUGAGAUCUUGGCUCACUGCAGCCUCAAACUCCUGGGCUCAAGUGAUCCUCCCACCUCAGCCUCCUGAGAAGCUGGGACUACAGGCAAAUGCUACAGUGGCUGGCUACUUUUUGUAAAGACGGAGUUUCACCAUGUUACCCAGGCUGGUUUUGAACUCCUGAGCUCAAGCAAUCCGUCCACCUCUGCCUCCCAAAGUGCUGGGAUUACACGCAUGAGCCACCACAUCUGGCCUGAUUUACUUUUAAAAGUCACUGAAAUGCUUUGCUCCUAAAUUCUCUGCUGGGGACAAGCCAGCCACACUUGCACGGCCUGUUCUUCAGCCUCUUUUCCUCCCUGAGACAUCAGUCCCUUAGCAAACCCAGCGUCUUGGGUGACUGGGACCAGGGUGACUCAAUGGCAGAUGCUGAUGGGUGAGACAGCCACAAAGAUGAUCUUUGGAGAGUGAGUUAUAGGUGAUUUGUUUUAUUUAAUUUUUAAUUUUUUUAUUUUUUUUUGAGACAGAGUCUCACUCUGUCGCCCAGGCUGGAGUGCAGUGGCGUGAUCUCAGCUCACUGCAACCUCCUCCUCCCGGUUCAAGCUACUCUCCUGACUCAGCCUCCAGAGUAGCUGAGAUUCCAGGCAUGUGCCACCACACCCAGCUAAUCUUUGUAUUUUUAGUAUAGACAGGGUUUCACCAUAUUGGCCAGGCUGGUCUCCAACUCCUGACCUCAAGUGAUCCACCAACCUUGGCCUCCCAAAGUGUUGGGAUUACAGGAGUGAGCCACCACCUCUGGCCAGGUGAUUCGUUUUAAAUCUGAAUUUUUACAUUUUUUUAUAAUAAGUGACCAUAUAUCACUUGCUAUUUAAAAAAAAAUUUUUUUUGAGAUGGAGUUUCACCCUUGUUGCCCAGGCUGGAGUGCAAUGGCAUGAUCUUGGGCCACUGCAAUCUCCGCCUCCCGGGUUCGAGCGAUUCUCCUGCCUCAGCCUCCAAGUAGCUGGGACUACAGGCAUGUGCCACCACGCCCAGAUAAUUUUUGUAUUUUUAGUAGAGGCAGGGUUUCACCAUGUUGGCCAGGCUGGUCUCAAACUCCUGACCUCCGGUGAUUCUCCUGCCUUGGCCUCCCAAAGUGCUGGGAUUACAGGCAUGAGCCACCGUGCCCAGCCAAAAGUCAUUAUUUAUAAAAAGAAAGAUGAGGGGCCAGCACCCCACCCUCCCCAGGGUUGUUGACUCCUGCUGGUACUGGCUGUGGCUGAAGUCAUCAUCAUGGAGGCUAACCCUUGGAGGGUAGAUAGUGCAGUGGCAGCAUCCUAAGGGCUUUAUGUGACCUGUAUGAACUCAUUUAAUCCCCAC